rnacentral:rRNA from 1 species
GGCUCAGAACGAACGCUGGCGGCGUGCUUAACACAUGCAAGUCGAACGAACCUUCGGGUUAGUGGCGGACGGGUGAGUAACGCGUGAGAAUCUGCCCUCAGGAGGGGGAUAACGGUUGGAAACGACCGCUAAUACCCCAUAUGCCGAGAGGUGAAAAGAAAUUCGCCUGAGGAUGAGCUCGCGUCUGAUUAGCUAGUUGGUGUGGUAAUGGCGCAGCAAGGCUUCGAUCAGUAGCUGGUCUGAGAGGAUGAUCAGCCACACUGUGACUGAGACACGGACCAGACUCCUACGGGAGUCCGCAGUGG